rnacentral:tRNA from 1 species
ACUAACCGAGGAAGAAAGUAAGAAACCGCUAAUUUCUCAACCUGAAGCUAACCACU